rnacentral:ncRNA from 1 species
UUAUCUGGUCGUCAACAGUGACCUGAAAGGGGAAGCUAGUCUUGACAAAGAUCAAGGCGACAUCAUCAAAUUGCGGGAACACCCUAAAGAUCUCACUACCAAGCCAAUUUCGAAAGAGAUUGGUGGCCGAGUUAAUGACCCUGGGUAUGGUAAUAACGUGAGAUAUGUGACAAUGGGCAAUCCGCAGCCAAGUCCUAAACUACAGACGUAGCAUGGAUGCAGUUCACAGACUAAAUGGUGGUGGGCCGUUGUGCGGCUUAAGAUAUAGUCGGGCCGCGUGCGAGAGUGCGCG